UUUCAGUUAUCAAUCAGCAUUUAAAGUCCUUUGAAUUGAACACCUGAAGUUUCAGGAAGCCACCCCAGCUCAUGUAAAUCACAGAAGCUUUCCCAACACAAAGGAGCAUCAGAAGGCACUUCUAAGGUCUGGAGUGUCAACAAAGAAUAUCCAUCCCAAAUAUUAGCCCCUAACAAAGGACAAGGGUGAUUCCAUCCUUCUCUGCCUGCAGCAUUGCAUGCCUUGUAUUCUUCACAGGAACAAUAUCCUACAUCAGGUCCAAGUGUCCAUAAUUGCAAGUUGCAAAUACUAAGGCAGUCCAUCUACAGCAGCUGAGGGGAUCACCCUGAAGACCCAGCAUGAGAUGCGAUUCAUCAAGCGCAGCAAAAAUGUAGCCCACUCUUCAUCUGAAUAACGAAACACUGGACAACUUAUCCUCUCAAAAAAGAUUGACAGACUGGUAGAAGACAUAUACAUUUGUACUUUUAAAGGCUGUACAUUUGUGAUGCAAGGAGUCACUAUCAAAUUCAUUUCUAAUCUAAAGCCUGCACCCCGAGGGGCUAUUUAACCUCCAGUACAAUUGGUGUCUUGCUAACCAAACAAGAACUUGACAGACAAUCCAGGUACCUGGACUUUUUUGCAGUAUUUACUACCCAGCCGCGUGAUUGAAGGUAUGCAGUAACACUUGGUGCCAUGAGCUUUGGAUCUGACAAAGAAUGAGAGGAACUGCCAACACUCUUGGAUGCUUUCUUCUCCAGGAUCUAAAGACAGUCCUCCAGGAACUCUUCCCGGCUCGACCUAGUGUACCCUGCGUUACUUAUUCUUGUCUGUCUGCCAUGAUAUCCUGCCAAAUACACCAUUUAUCUGUG